CAGAUCGCUGCACCUCUCACAGCUUUAAACUCCACCAAGGUGUCCUUCAGAUGGAACCAGGAUGUUCAGGUAGCCUUUGACAUAUUAAAGUCCCGUUUUAUCCUGAGGCCCAGUUCAUUGUCGAGGUAGACGCUUCGGACGUCGGGUUGGCACAGUUCAAUCUCAGCGUUCCCUCCACGAUGGGAAGGUGCAUCCCUGUGCAUUCUUCUCUCACCGUCUGAGCCCUGCAGAACGUAAUUAUGACAUUGGCAAUAGAGAACUGUUGGCAGUGAGGUUUGCCUUGGGUGAGUGGCGUCACUGGUUGGAGGGGUCAGCGCAGCCCUUCUUGGUCAAGAACCUUGAAUAUAUCCAUUCGGCCAAGAAGUUGAGCUCACGUCAGGCCCGCUGGGUGCUCUUCUUUGGUCGAUUGAACUUCACCCUCUCGUACCGGCCGGGAUCUAAGAACAUCAAGCCCGAUGCUCUCUCGCACCUGUUCGGGGCCCCAAAGGGGGAGCUUUCAGCAGAAGCCAUCCUUUCUGAAGGGGUGGUGGUCGGGGCUCUUUCUUGGGGCAUCAAGCAGCGACUUGAGGAGGCCGGUCGAGGGGUGCAAGUGCCUGGGAGGUGCCUGCGGGCAGUUUGCCGGUGUCAGCUGCACUGCGCCCUGAGGUCCUUCAGUGGGGGAUCCAGGGAUUCAGAGAACAUUGUUUGCCAUCCGUCAAAGCUUCUGGUGGCCUGCUUUGGCUGCGGAUGUCAGACAGUUCUUGUUGGCCUGCCCCACAUGUGCCCAAUGUAAGCCAGUGAAUCACCCUCCUGAUGGUCUGCUUAAUCCUCUUCCUGCCCCUUCCCGUCCUUGGUCACACAUUGCCCUUGAUUUUGUCUUUGGGCUUCCCCUAUCGAAGGGUAACACUGUGAUUCUCAUUGUGGUGGAUCGCUUUUCUAAGGCGGUUCAUUUCAUUCCCCUGCCCAAACUGCCCUCCACCCAGGAGACUGCCCAACCGGUUGUGGAUCACGUCUUCCGUCUCCAUGGUUUGGCGUCGGAUGUGGUUUCACA
ensembl:lncRNA